rnacentral:rRNA from 1 species
AUUGAACGCUGGCGGCAGGCCUAACACAUGCAAGUCGAGCGGAGCGGCGGACGGGUGAGUAAUGCCUAGGAAUCUGCCUGGUACUGGGGGAUAACGUCCGGAAACGGGCGCUAAUAUCGUAUCCUUUUUGAUGAGCCUAGGUCGGUUUAGCUAGUUGGUGGGGUAAAGGCCUACCAAGGCGACGACCCGUAACUGGUCUGAGAGGAUGAUCAGUCACACUGGAACUGAGAGACGGGCCAGACUCCUACGGGAGGCAGCAGUGGGGAAUAUUGGACAAUGUGCGAAAGCCUGAUCCAGCCAUGCCGCGUGUGUGAAGAAGGUCUUCAGAGUGUAAAGCACUUUAAGUUGGGAGGCGUUACCAACAGAAUAAGCACCGGCUAACUUCGUGCCAGCCGCCGCGGUAAUAC